rnacentral:rRNA from 1 species
AGUGAACGCUGGCGGUAGGCCUAACACAUGCAAGUCGAACGGCAGCACAGUAAGAGCUUGCUCUUACGGGUGGCGAGUGGCGGACGGGUGAGGAAUACAUCGGAAUCUACUUUUUCGUGGGGGAUAACGUAGGUAAACUUACGCUAAUACCGCAUACGACCUACGGGUGAAAGCAGGGGAUCUUCGGACCUUGCGCGAUUGAAUGAGCCGAUGUCGGAUUAGCUAGUUGGCGGGGUAAAGGCCCACCAAGGCGACGAUCCGUAGCUGGUCUGAGAGGAUGAUAAGCCACACUGGAACUGAGACACGGUCCAGACUCCUACGGGAGGCAGCAGUGGGGAAUAUUGGACAAUGGGCGCAAGCCUGAUCCAGCCAUACCGCGUGGGUGAAGAAGGCCUUCGGGUUGUAAAGCCCUUUUGUUGGGAAAGAAAAGCAGCAGGUUAAUACCCUGCUGUUCUGACGGUACCCAAAGAAUAAGCACCGGCUAACUUCGUG